rnacentral:other from 1 species
CCAAACCUGGGGUGCUGGUUAUGUUCCAUUUUUGACCCACACUUUGUAAAAGGGUUUUUGCGUCCGUCGGCUGGGAAUGCAGGCCAGAAUUUAUUUUGGAAGCACAAAGGCUGCGGCAGAUUACCCACCUGCCUAUGGCGGGUUACAAAAAGGGGCAGACGACACCUCCGGGGGUCAU